GAAGUGAAUGCUUUCAAAAGAGAACUAGAUGCACACAUGAGAGGAAACAGAAUAAAAAGACAGAUUGACAGCUGAACUGAGAUACCCAAGAAAUCCAACUUGUCCAGGCAAAGAAGGAACUACUUCAGUGGAGGAACCCAACCAGGAUGUGGGUAUCAUCAGCUAGGCCAUUUAUUGCCCAUCUCCACAUCGCUGUGGGUCUGGAGUCAUUUGAAGACCGGGUUACUGUACCAGCUCAUCAAAUUCCUAGUUUCCCCAUAUGGAGAGGUCUGUGUACCCCUUCCACCUAGGAAGAACACAAGCAACAGUUUGUCAUCUGACUGCAUGGAAAGAAAAUCAAAUGAAAAUGAAGCUUGGAGGAAAAUUGUGCAAAAGAAUGCUAAAGACAUUCUCAAGUGCUGAAACACAACUCCACGUUCAACUGACAUGGUAUCCUCAGGUUAAACUCACCAUCAGUUGUCUCUCUCUAAUCAGAGAGGGGCAGUCCUAUGGGUCGUCCGGUGACUGUAGUACAAAAUUACAGACCUAUCUUACAAGGGUCUCAGAAAUGCACUUAGAAAGCAGAAAAAAAGCAGAAAAGUUUAAAGUUUCAGGAAUUCAAUGACUUACCAGUGACCUGGACAAUUCAUAGGUUUUAGGGCAAAGAUUUCCUUCUCCACUUCAAAAGAAAACAUAUUCUCACUGUAGUGCUGCCAGUGUCCUGAUGUUUGCCACAGUUUGUGGUUGUAAAUAUUGGGAGACACCACCUCUGUAAAGCCUCUUUUGUUGUAC